rnacentral:rRNA from 1 species
UACGUAGGGACCAAGCGUUGUUCGGAUUUACUGGGCGUAAAGGGCGCGUAGGCGGCAAUUCAAAGUCAUCUGUGAAAUCUCCGGGCUUAACCCGGAACGGUCAGUAUGAUACUGCUUUGCUAGAGUGCGGAAGGGGCAAUCGGAAUUCUUGGUGUAGCGGUGAAAUGCGUAGAUAUCAAGAGGAACACCUGAGGUGAAGACGGGUUGCUGGGCCGACACUGACGCUGAU